rnacentral:rRNA from 1 species
GAAAAAGCCGCAUCCUUCCGAGCCGUAUUGGGGGCAGCUAUCGAUUUUGGGUAAGCCCACCCGCGUUUAUUCGAUGGAAUCCCGGCUCACCUGGAACUCAUGGAAUGCAAGUAGAUCUCUAGAGGGGGUGAAUUCCAGUGUAGCGUGAAUGGGAGAGAUUUGGGGAAUACCGGGGGGAAGGGGCCCCCUGGACGAAGAUGACGCUCAGUGGGAAAGCGUGGGAGCAAACAGGAUUAGAUACCCUGGUAGUCACGCUGUAAACGAUGUCGAUUUGGAGGUUGUGCCCUGAGGCGUGGCUUCCGGAGCUAACGCGUUAAAUCGACCGCCUGGGGAGUACGGCCGCAAGGUUAAAACUCAAAUGAAUUGACGGGGGCCCGCACAAGCGGUGGAGCAUGUGGUUUAAUUCGAUGCAACGCGAAGAACCUUACCUACUCUUGACAUCCAGAGAACUUUCCAGAGAUGGAUUGGUGCCUUCGGGAACUCUGAGACAGGUGCAGCAUGGCUGUCGUCAGCUCGUGUUGUGAAAUGUUGGGUUAAGUCCCGCAACGAGCGCAACCCUUAUCCUUUGUUGCCAGCGGUUCGGCCGGGAACUCAAAGGAGACUGCCAGUGAUAAACUGGAGAAAGGUGGGGAUGACGUCAAGUCAUCAUGGCCCUUACGAGUAGGGCUACACACGUGCUACAAUGGCGUAUACAAAGAGAAGCGACCUCGCGAGAGCAAGCGGACCUCAUAAAGUACGUCGUAGUCCGGAUUGGAGUCUGCAACUCGACUCUAUGAAGUCGGAAUCGCUAGUAAUCGUAGAUCAGAAUGCUACGGUGAAUACGUUCCCGGGCCUUGUACACACCGCCCGUCACACCAUGGGAGUGGGUUGCAAAAGAAGUAGGUAGCUUAACCUUCGGGAGGGCGCUUACCACUUUGUGAUUCAUGACUGGGGUGAAGUCGUAACAAGGUAGCCGUA